CCUACGGGUGGCAGCAGUGAGGAAUAUUGGACAAUGGUCGGGAGACUGAACCAGCCAAGCCGCGUGAGGGAGGAAGGUACAGAGUAUCGUAAACCUCUUUUGUCAGGGAACAAAGACUGGGACGCGUCCCCGGAUGAGUGUACCUGAAGAAAAAGCAUCGGCUAACUCCGUGCCAGCAGCCGCGGUAAUAUGGAGGAUGCGAGGGUUAUCCGGAUUUAUGGGGUUAAAAGGGUGCGCAGGCGGUAUGUUAAGUCAGCGGUCAAAGCCCGGGGCCAAACCCCGGCCCGCCGUUGAAACUGGCAAGCUCGAGUGGGAGAGAAGUAUGCGGAAUGCGCGGUGUAGCGGUGAAAUGCAUAGAUAUCGCGCAGAACUCCGAUUGCGAAGGCAGCAUGCCGGCUCCACACUGACGCUGAGGCACGAAAGCGUGGGUAUCGAACAGGAUUAGAUACCCGAGUAGUC
rnacentral:rRNA from 1 species